UACGAAGGGGGCAAGCGUUGUUCGGAAUUACUGGGCGUAAAGGGCGCGUAGGCGGCUUAUCAAGUCAGGCGUGAAAUCCCCAGGCUCAACUUGGGAACUGCGUCUGAUACUGGAUGGCUUGAGUUUGGGAGAGGGAUGCGGAAUUCCAGGUGUAGCGGUGAAAUGCGUAGAUAUCUGGAGGAACACCGGUGGCGAAGGCGGCAUCCUGGACCAACACUGACGCUGAGUGAGCGAAAGCCAGGGGAGCAAACGGG
rnacentral:rRNA from 1 species